rnacentral:rRNA from 1 species
UGGGGAAUAUUGGACAAUGGGCGAAAGCCUGAUCCAGCCAUGCCGCGUGUGUGAAGAAGGUCUUCGGAUUGUAAAGCACUUUAAGUUGGGAGGAAGGGCAUUAACCUAAUACGUUAGUGUUUUGACGUUACCGACAGAAUAAGCACCGGCUAACUCUGUGCCAGCAGCCGCGGUAAUACAGAGGGUGCUAGCGUUAAUCGGAAUUACUGGGCGUAAAGCGCGCGUAGGUGGUUUGUUAAGUUGGAUGUGAAAUCCCCGGGCUCAACCUGGGAACUGCAUUCAAAACUGACUGACUAGAGUAUGGUAGAGGGUGGUGGAAUUUCCUGUGUAGCGGUGAAAUGCGUAGAUAUAGGAAGGAACACCAGUGGCGAAGGCGACCACCUGGACUAAUACUGACACUGAGGUGCGAAAGCGUGGGGAGCAAACA